ensembl:lncRNA
CAAUUUACAGCAGUAUUUAAAUAGAGGUGGGACAGGCCUUCAAAAGUGUUUGAGGUCUACCUAUACUUAACUGUAGUUAUUUCUUUUUAUAAAAUACAUGCUUCUCUAUUUCUUUUCAAGGAACUCUUUUUUUCUUUACUGGGAAACUUGGUUGAAAUAAAUACAACACUUAUUUUCUCUUUUGUCAGAAAAUCACUCUGUUCUCUUAUCUUUCUCUUAGUUUUAUUAUGCUGGUGCUUACUUUAAUACACUAAUAAUUAAAGCUUUAAUUUUGUGGUUUGGAGCCUGCUGUUUCCUCCAGUUCUUAAUUUAUCAUUAGUAGCACAACCAUACAGUAGCUGAAUGGCUGAUGGAAAAUGUGUGAUGGCCUUUGCAUUUUUGUGGCAAGUGAAGGGGAAAGGGGGUGGCUUUGGUAGCUUGGACCAGACAUAAUACUUUGGCUCGUGCUGAUACACGUCCUUGAGCAGCACAGUUUCCUCAGCCCUCAUGCUGCCAUUUCCAUUUUCACACUGAGACUUAUGGAGCAAACUCUGCAGGAAUUUGCAGUGCUUGAGGCCCCAACAGCAUCUGGAAAGUAGUCAGAGCUCGGCCAAAGAUGUGUGUUGUCCUUGGAGAUCCAUUGGCAAUGUUUUAACCCCAUGGUAAACAUUUUACUUUCAUUUAGGGCUGUGGGGUUUUUUAUCUUACUCCUUUCUCCUAACUUCUUUUUAUUUUCUUUUGACAGUAUCACGUUUUACUUAUCUUGAAUGCUAAUUCUACAAUAAUCCAAAGUUCUCUUCUAUAGGUUGCCUAUAGCACGUGACAAAUAGGUUUGACUGAAGCUGCUUGAAAUUAACUUUCUUGGACAUAUUUUCCUAUUGCAAUCACACAUAUGUGAGCCUUAUUUUUCUUUUUUUUUCUAACCCAACCUUUUUGUCAUUCAGGGUAGUCACCAGAGUAUGCUUACAGACACCAACUCAAGCCUUCGUAAUGGCUUUUGAAAGCUUAUUGUGAUCAGUGAAGUAAAUAAGGCAGUGAGUCAUAACUAAAUGGGAUUCAGCUGUAGAGCAACAGAGGUUUGUAGAGCAGCAGUAUGUAUGAAGGUCACACGCAGGAUUUUAUUCAAGCAAAGUUUUAUGGUCAGAAAUUACAACCUGAUGGACACAUCUGCUUUGGCCUUUGGGACUAGAUGAGUGUAGUAAGAUUGUCCUUUCCUAUUUUUCUGAUGACUGUAGAAAUCUGCUUAAAUCCACAGAUUUCAUUGACUGCUAAACUUUCUUUCACUUUGUUUUACUUAAUUCUUGAUAUUUCUCAGCCUUCCUUGUGCUGUUUAUUAACCAGUACAUGUUUGGUUUGAGAUUAAAUCUAUACAGGGUUGAACUUCUUCACUGCUCCUCCAUUUCAUUUCUGAUUUUCUUUUUUAUUUCCUGAUAAAAUGGAUUUUGAUGUGAAAAGAUAUACUGAGGAGGAAAAAAAAUCAAGUAUGGUCUGAGCUAUAAAAACUGAAGGAAGAGGAGGAGAAAAGCAUUUCUAUAAUGAUAUAAAACUCCUUUGUAAAAUCAGAAACUGUCGGAAGUGUUUGCAAUCGCAAAUUGAUUGUAUUGUGAACUCUUCAGAUAAUAUGAUAGGAUAUUUUUUGAAUUACCUGUCCUCUGUGCUUUCUCAAUGUACCAGCAGUUGCAGCACUUUGUCCCGUUCAAAAGUUGCUGGGUGAGGAGCCUACUCCCUAACACAGGCUUUGUUCUCAUUUAAGUCUUCAUAACCCCACAAAAUCAAUCAGAUCUCCAAUCUGCAUAAAUGUACUAUGGGAGUCCAAGUGCUGACAGCUUAAGAAAAAAGAUCUUGCUACACUGGUGAUAACAUCCUGACAAUUGGGAAGGCAGCGGUUGCAUGGGAGAAGAUCAGGGAGGGAGAAGGGAGGAGUGAGCACUGAUGGAAGUAGAAAAGGGACAUGUAAUAGAGGCUGAGUUUAGGAUGAGCAGGAUGCACAUUUAACACAUUUUCAGCAAUGAUUUCAAAACUCUUGUGACCUUUCUUUGCCCGGAAGUUUUUGGGGCAUUUUAACAAACAGAAGCAUAGAGACAAAGUAAAUGAGAGAUGCUUCAUCUUCCUAGGUGCCAAUUAUUUAACUAGCACCCUGAGCUAUCAGUCCCCUAAAGUAAUCUCCUUAAAUAAGUAAUGGACACGCUAUCUGGAUUUCCUUCUCAUCUUUUUGUGAAGCAAUGUCCACUAAAAUUGCUAGAGCAGUCAAUCAUCUCUGUCCAAGCAGACAUGAAUAUUCCCAGACAGGCCUCACAGCCUUCACUCUUGCAGCAGGUUGUGGCUACUACCAAGCAAUGAACUGCUGCCUUCAGCUGCUUUCUGCUGUGGAGCCCUCCCGAGUCAUCUCAUAAUGUUAAUUGGAGAUUUUGCUUUUGUUUCUCCUGGCUAAAUUCUAUGAAUUAAGUGAAAGUUACCCGGUCCUUCUUUCGCUAUACAAUUUAAGUACAAACAUGGAUCCAAUUCCUUACAGAUUCAUAUUUGCAGCAUCUAUUUCAGUGCUUGUUUAAAAGUCAAUAGAGUUCAUUAAUUUCAAUUAAUUUCUUAAUUUAGUUCUCCUCUUUGAGCCUUCCUUGGACUUCUUAUUCUGUUCUCAAAAAUAUUUUCUUUCAUCUGUAAGCUGGUCUUAUUAUGACCUGUUUGCUCUUUGGUCAGUGUAUUAGUUAGAAGGCCAGUUUAUAUUUGAGGCAAUUGGGUAUUUGUGUGCUUCAAAUAAUUUUAAACAUACUCCUUCCUCUUUCUCUGUAUAACCAAAGUGUACUUUAUGGAGGAUAGUGGUGUUUUAAAAUCUAACUUUGGUAAUGAGGAAAUGAGCCAUGACAACUCUGGAGGUGAAGCCUGAAGUGAAUUAUGAAGGUCAUUCUCUUAGAUGGGAAAAUUAAUUACGUUUCAGCUUGGUCCCCUGUUCCUUAGACCCUUUGUAUUGUACACUACCAAGUAAUUUUGACUAAAUAUCAAUUUAUGAAAAAUUUUCUGGGCAAAAUAGUGGAGCUGCAAGAACAGAUUUUUCAACUAGGAAGAGUUUUAUUAAAACACUAAUCAUAUCAGCAAACCAUAACCUAACCUUUCAUGUUAUCUUUUUGAAAGGAUGCUUGCUGUGGGAUUUUAAUGCUCAUUCAUUUUGACUAUUGGUGGGCCUCUAGCUCCUGUGAUUACAGGCUCUUCUGAAACUUAUUUUUCUCCUUAAAAUCCAAUCUUGUGAAGUUCUUCACUGUAUAUUCAGAAAGAAUACUGAAGUGAGCCAAACCACUCUGAAGGAUGCAGCCACUAAGUGCAGCGCUUGCAGAGGGCAGAUGAAACAGGUAGUGUUGAUGGUAGUUAAAAAACAUUUACUCUGAGCCUGGAAUAGACAUGGGAGUCUUGCAGAGUUUUUCGUGUUCUGUUGACACACAAGUGGGAGUUUGGGCUUGGAAUCUUUAUGUAAGGAUAUAAAGAAUUAACACAUGGGGCUUAACUUGAUGUGGAAAUUAAGCACCUGCUUAAAGGCUUUCCUGAGCAGGGAUAUACUUAAGCAAUCCCAAAUCAGUGACUUAAUUUUUUUUGGCAGCUGGUAUUCAUUAUUUUGUUUACUUUAAAGGGUUAUUUUCUCCAGAAACCUGUAGAUCUUUGCAGCCUUUUCACAUCCUGCACCUCUGGUUGUCCAAAUAUGCCAGGUGGCUGUAGCUCCUCUGGUAUUGCUGAAAGCAGAAAAUCUGGCUGCAGGUCAUGCCUGUGCCUUGUGACAUCUGUAAAAAAGUUUGAAGUGACAAUGAAUCUUCUAGAGUGCCAGGCCACAAAGCACAGCUAAAUAAAUAAAAGUCUGCAGAAAUUUGUCUUCUGACGCUGCAUUUCACAGCAAGAGCAUUAUGAUGUGCAGAGCUUGGCCAUCAGAGUACCAGAGAGCUGUACUGAGAAAUUGCAGUUUCAUGUUACAGGUAAACUAUUUAUGUUCCUCCCGGAUCCCUCUGUGACCUGGUGUAGGAAAGGAAGCCAGCAAGAAGCUACUUUCUUUUUCAGAAAUAUUAUGUGUCUUUAGUAGCAAGCUGUGGCUCAGUGGCAAGCCCUGUGAUAGCCAGCCCUUGCUAAGGGCAUGGGAAGGGAGCAUGAGCUCCACAUUCCAGGUGCAGCCAGGUGUUGGAGCAGCUUGCUCUAAUGUUGGAUGCCAGGAGCUGAAAGUAAAUGUUCGCUAGUUGUCAAAACCAGAAAAAAACAGCUACCGUAAGAGGAGUGACUUUUGCAUUUCUGAAAUGCCAUUUCAGUGAAAAAGGUUAUGAAAACUUUAUUUCCUGAACAGAGAAGAUGAAUAUUUUGAGAAAAUUUAAUCCAUUCAUACUUACCAAGAGGUUGGAAAAAAAAAAAAAA